CAAAGAAUAGUUUAUAAAAAUAAUAAUUUUGGAAAUUAUAGAUAAAGAAAUUCUUUUUCUUUGA
rnacentral:tRNA from 1 species